rnacentral:misc_RNA from 1 species
AUAGAACAAGUCCUUCCGUGGGUAACACUUGCUGAAGCCUUAGCAGCCCGAAAGGGUGCCCCUCGACGACUAUAAACAAUCAGAGAGUCUGAAAUGCUAGUCUCCUUUCAAUAGGGGGCGACACUGUCAAAUUGCGGGAAACCCCUAAAGACCUUGACACCAAGCGCCUACUGGAAACAGUGGCGUGGCCGAGUUAAUUGCCCUGGGUAUGGUAAAAGUUCAAGGUAUGAGCUCAAGUAGUUGAGUGAAA